GAUGAACGCUGGCGGCGUGCCUAAUACAUGCAAGUCGAGCGAACGGACGAGAAGCUUGCUUCUCUGAUGUUAGCGGCGGACGGGUGAGUAACACGUGGAUAACCUACCUAUAAGACUGGGAUAACUUCGGGAAACCGUAGCUAAUACCGGAUAAUAUUUUGAACCGCAUGGUUCAAAAGUGAAAGACGGUCUUUCUGUCACUUAUAGAUGGAUCCGCGCUGCAUUAGCUAGUUGGUAAGGUAACGGCUUACCAAGGCAACGAUGCAUAGCCGACCUGAGAGGGUGAUAGGCCACACUGGAACUGAGACACGGUCCAGACUCCUACGGGAGGCAGCAGUAGGGAAUCUUCCGCAAUGGGCGAAAGCCUGACGGAGCAACGCCGCGUGAGUGAUGAAGGUCUUCGGAUCGUAAAACUCUGUUAUUAGGGAAGAACAUAUGUGUAAGUAACUGUGCACAUCUUGACGGUACCUAAUCAGAAAGCAACGGCUAACUACGUG
rnacentral:rRNA from 1 species